rnacentral:rRNA from 1 species
CAACUUUUGACAAUGGAUCUCUUGGUUCUCGCAACGAUGAAGAACGCAGCAAAAUGCGAUAAGUAGUGUGAAUUGCAGAAUACGUGAAUCAUCGAAUCUUCGAACGCAUAUUGUACUUUUUUAGUUUACUAAAAAAGUAUGUCUGUUUGAGUAUCAGUA